rnacentral:misc_RNA from 1 species
UUAAGUUCAGCGGGUAUUCCUACCUGAUCCGAGGUCAAACUUUCAGAAGUGGGGGGUUUAACGGCGUGGCCGCGCUGCGAUCCAGUGCGAGUGUUGCUACUACGCAGAGGAAGCUACAGCGAGACCGCCAAUGUAUUUCGGGGGCGGCACCGCCAGAAGGCAGAGCCGAUCCCCAACACCAAACCCGGGGGCUUGAGGGU